GACGAACGCUGGCGGCGUGCUUAACACAUGCAAGUCGAACGGAAAGGCCCUGCUUUUGUGGGGUGCUCGAGUGGCGAACGGUGAGUAACACGUGAGUAACCUGCCCUUGACUUUGGGAUAACUUCAGGAAACUGGGGCUAAUACCGGAUAGGAGCUCCUGCUGCAUGGUGGGGUUGGAAAGUUUCGGCGGUUGGGGAUGGACUCGCGGCUUAUCAGCUUGUUGGUGGGGUAGUGGCUUACCAAGGCUUUGACGGUAGCCGGCCUGAGAGGGUGACCGGCCACAUUGGGACUGAGAUACGGCCCAGACUCCUACGGGAGGCAGCGGUGGGGAAUAUUGCACAAU
rnacentral:rRNA from 1 species